rnacentral:rRNA from 1 species
UGGGGAAUAUUGGACAAUGGGCGCAAGCCUGAUCCAGCCAUGCCGCGUGAGUGAUGAAGGCCCUAGGGUUGUAAAGCUCUUUCACCGGUGAAGAUAAUGACGGUAACCGGAGAAGAAGCCCCGGCUAACUUCGUGCCAGCAGCCGCGGUAAUACGAAGGGGGCUAGCGUUGUUCGGAUUUACUGGGCGUAAAGCGCACGUAGGCGGACUUUUAUGUCAGGGGUGAAAUCCCGGGGCUCAACCCCGGAACUGCCUUUGAUACUGGAAGUCUUGAGUAUGGUAGAGGUGAGUGGAAUUCCGAGUGUAGAGGUGAAAUUCGUAGAUAUUCGGAGGAACACCAGUGGCGAAGGCGGCUCACUGGACCAUUACUGACGCUGAGGUGCGAAAGCGUGGGGAGCAAACAGG